UGUGUGUAAAGGAAAGACAUUUCAGAGGGCAGGGGAAGUAGCAGGCCACAUGACGGAAAGUGAGCAUCUGUGCCCUCCCUUUAAAGAAUGGACUGUGAGUUCUGCAGUUGAAUUUAAAAUUGGCUUAUGUGAUACUUAGCAGGUUAGUGGGACCUUCUGUAAAUAAUGGGUGCCUAUUGGCGUUGGGCCAUGUGUGUACACACUUUUUUAAUAAGAUCAAACAAGGAAACUUAGGGGGGCUUGGUGCAGCAGCUACUUUGUACUGUUGAGUUAAAAGCCAUUCCAUAAGCUUUCGUGGACUACACCCCCCUUCUUCGGAUGCAUAUAGAAUGGAACAUAUAUUGAGGAGAUAUAUAUACACACAUACAGAGAGCAUAAACAGGUGGGAGUUGUCUUACCAACUCUGAGAGACCAAUUAAGUAAGAGAAAAAAACUUUUGAAGUGAUAAUCAAGCUAGCCCAGUACAGACAGUGUGAUAAGAAGUGUGAGAGUACUUACAAGGGGAGAUAGUCAACGUUUGUAAUGGCUCAGCCAUUCCCAGUCCUUAUUCAAUCCUGAGUUGAUUGUGUCUAGUUUGCAUAUCAGUUCCAGCUCAGCAGUCUCUUGUUGGAGUCUGUUUUUGAAGUUUUUCUGUUGUAAUAUAGCCACCCGCAGGCCUGUCACUGAAUGACCAGACAGGUUAAAGUGUUCUCCCACUGGUUUUUGAGUAUUUUGAUUCCUGAUGUCAGAUUUGUGUCCAUUAAUUCUUUUGCGUAGAGACUGUCUGGUUUGGCCAAUGUACAUGGCAGAGGGGCAUUGCUGGCACAUGAUGGCAUAGAUCACAUUGGUAGAUGUGCAGGUGAACGAGCCCCUGAUGGUAUGGCUGAUGUGAUUAGGUCCUAUGAUGAUGUCACUUGAAUAGAUAUGUGGACAGAGUUGGCAUCGGGCUUUGUUACAAGGAUAGGUUCCUGGGUCAGUGGUUUUGUUCAGCGAUGUGUGGUUGCUGGUGAGUAUUUGCUUUAGACAAGCACCUACAAGAUCUCUAUCAAGCAUUCUUAAAACUACAAUGCCCACCUGCUGAAGUGAAAAAACAGAUUGACAGAGCCAGACGAGUACCCAGAAGUCACCUCCUACAAGACAGGCCCAACAAAGAAAAUAACAGAACACCACUAGCUGUCACCUUCAGCCCCCAACUAAAACCUCUCCAGCGCAUCAUCAGAGAUCUACAACCUAUCCUCAAAGAUGAUCCUUUACUCUCACAGAUCUUGGGAGACAGACCUGUCCUCGCUUACAGACAACCCCCCAAUCUAAAGCAAAUACUCACCACCGGGCGGAGUUGGGGCGAGGGGGGCGCGAGCCCUUCCGGGCUCCGGAGCCUUUGCUUGUUUGUCCAGUGUCCCGACCUAACAUUGGUCGGGACGCGGGACAAACAAGCAAAUAUCGGGACAGUCCCGAUAAAAUCGGGACAUCUGGUCACCCUAGCUACAGCCCACUUCAUUGGAUGCAUGAACUCCUGUUCUUUUAACUAAAACGUUGGCAUUUCACUUACUGUGCAGGAAAGUGGCAGUAACCAGUGGUGGUCUGGUGGCCAGCAGUAUUUAUCUUCGGGGCAUUUCUGAGCUGUAAUGUGCUUCGGCUGACAAGAAAUGUAUUAAAUUAAUCCCAAUAGAAAGAUUUUAAACAUGCUCUUAGACAGUCGUCUCUGCUUUGGUAACUGCAAUUCCUGGAUGUCAGAACUAAGCAGGGACUGACUUUUCUUCUGUGUGCUUUGCAGCUGCUCCUGACCAGGCUGCCAAACUGCAGCGACUUGCUCAAAUCCACAUCCAGCAGCAGUCACAGUGUUUAUUACAAGCAGCAAGUCCAAGAUAAUAGAACACUGGAUGUAUUGACAUCUGCACGCAGACAGCAGGUCCGUGUUUGAUGGCCUGCUGCACACAAUUAAAGAAAUCCUGGAGAAGAGCUACACCCCAGGAGAGAUGUGCCACCGCUGAGUCAGUCAAAAUGUCAGCCGUAUGAACUUGGCAGAACAGAGGGGUAUUGCUGGAGACCAUCGUUCUUUUCUUUUGCAAACCUUCCAGCUACUGUUUCACAGCCUCUGACCCUACCUCAUUUUCACUGGCAUUCACUACGUUAGUCGUCCCAUCGCCACCAACCACCUUGGUGAAAACCGAAACAAAGACGUCAUUAAGCACCUCUGCCAUUUCCACAUUUUCUGUUAUUGUCUUUCCCCCCUCAUUGAGUAACGGGCCCACCCUGUCCUUGGUCUUCCUCUUGCUUCUAUUGUAUUUGUGGAAUGUUUUCUUGUUACCCUUUAUGUCUCUGGCUAGUUUGAUCUCGUUUUGUGCCUUGGCCUUUCUAAUUUUGCCCCUACAGACUUGUGUUGUUUGUUUAUAUUCAUCCUUUGUAGUUUGACCUAGUUUCCACUCCUUUUUGAGUUUUAGAUAAUUGAAGAUCUCCUGGUUAAGCCAGGGUGGUCUCUUGCCAUCCUUCCUAUCUUUCCUACGCAGUGCGAUAGUUUUCUCUUGUGCCCUUAAUAAUAUCUCUGAAAAACUGCCAACUGUCUUCAAUUGUUUUUCCUCUUUACUUGCUUCCCAUGGGAUCUUACCUACCAACUCCCUGAGUUUGCUGAAGUCUGCCUUCUUGAAAUCAGUUGUCUUUACUGUUCUGUUCUCCCUCCUACCAUUCCUUAGUAUCGUGAACUCGACCAUUUCAUGAUCACUUUCACCCAAGCUGCCUUCUGCUUUCAAAUUCUCAACCAGUUCUUCCCUAUUUGUCAAAAUCAAAUCUAGAACAGCCUGUGACGUUAUGAGUGUAAUAUAAUAUCUCAUUGAAAGGUGACAGGGCCAGAAAGAGUUAAUUACCUCACAGACUGACCUGACCCAUGGUCGAACUUUAGAGACUGGUUAGGAAGAUCUGUAAAUUAAUAGAGCUUUGAAAUGCAGCUGGCAUUGUUAGAGAUGGAAGGGGAGCUGUUUGCUCAGGUCUUGUGAUGUAAGCAAACAAGUCUUGUCUAUUGCUAUAGCUUUCAUUCAAAGAUCAAAAAAGGAAUAUUAACAUUUAGGAAGAUACUUGAAGGAAAUAGUAUUAUUGUCUCUGUCUCUUUGAAGGUUGUGGUAACCUGUAUCUGAACUGUUUAAUGGAUAAAUUACCCUGUGCUAAUUGCCAGGAUGUUUGGGAGAAGGACAGUUAAGCCUAUUGUUUUCUCAGGCCAAGAAGCUGCAGGAAAUGUAUAAAAACCUUGGGACUCAAUCCUUCAUCUCAGAUCUGCUUUGGGUUUUAAGAAGGGGAAACCUUAAGCCAUAAGGAUUGAGAUCCCCAGUCACUGACUGGAGUCACCCUGAGCAUGGACAUUGGACUAUAACCUAUGGACUAUUUCUAAUAGGACUUUUGGCAACUACAAGCCCAUCUCUGCUAUGUACCUGAACCUCAAGAAUUGAAUUCAGGUGGACCUGAUCUCUGUUUAGCAGUCCUUCUUCCUGGAACAGCAUCCCGUGGUCAAGGAAGCCGAAGCCCUCCUGGCGACACAAUCUUCGCAGCCAGGCAUUCACCUCCAGGAUGCAUCUCUCUCUGCCGAGGCCCCUCCCCUUGAUUGGAAUGACUGAAGAGAACAGUACCUGCGCUCCCAACUCCCUCACCCUUAUUCCCCUGUAGUCAUUUCUGAGCUGCUGAGGGUCAUACCUCACAGUAUCAUUAGUGCCCACAUGGAUGAGUAGCGUGGGGUAGUAGUCAGAGGGCCAGGUGAUCCUUGACAAUCCCUCCGUAAUGGCUGGGAUACAGGCCCCUGGCAGGCAGCAUACCUCCCGAGAUGCCAUGUCUGGGCAACAGAUGAGUGCCUCCGUCCUUCUCAGAAGAGAGUCUCCAACCACCACUCCUCACUACAUGUGUCUGACGAAGUGGGUAUUCACCCACGAAAGCCUAUGCUCCAUACAUUUGUUAGUCUAUAAGGUGCCACAGGAUUCUUUGUUGCUUUUUACAGAUCCAGACUAACACUGCUACCCCUCUGAUACUUCACUACCCUACGUUUCCUCCUGGGAAUGGUGUCUGUGAUCCUCCCAGCCUGGGGGGUACAGGCUUCUCCUCUUCAACCGUUGGGGGUGAUUCCUCAUCACUUGUUGCCAGGGCAGCAUAGCAGUUCUCCAUCACUAUGGUGGGGGGUUGGGAGUAGGGGUGGAGCAAUUCCUGCUGCUAGAAGUAACCAGCUGCCUGUGUCAUCCCUGUACCAGAGCCUUUUUCUCCUCCCCGGUGGCAUGACAGCAGUCCUCUCUAGCUGGAUAGCGUCCUCAGCCUUGAAGUCUCCAUAUGAAUACUCUCAAGGAAUUCCUCGUGGGCUCGGAGGAAGCUCCCCAGCCCAGCCCCCUCCUCCUGUAGCUCUCCCACCUGCUUCCCGAGAGAUCCCACCAGCAGGCACCUUUCACACUGGAUGGUCCCCCCCCAACCUGGCUGUCUGUGAGUGGGAAACGCAGGCCACAGUCUCUGCAAGUCCAGACCAGGAUCUGGGGAGAGGCAUCCAUGACUAGGUUGUCUGUCUGGAUACCGGCGCAGGUGGAGGAGACAGGAGCAGCGUUGCCACUGGUGAUGUGGCCUUUUCUUACCAUAACGAUUAUAUUACGUCUCCCUCCCACAACCUCCCCUGUUUGCUAGCUCCCCUUGGUCGUUUAGCCUCUGGCUUUUAAGGCCUUUUCUCUUAGGUCAGCCCUGCCCCCUAAUUAAUCACCUGGAGGGAGAGUGAUCACAGAGCGGAUUGAGGCUGAUCAAGGAUGAUCCAGGGAACAAAGGCUCAAACAGUCUCCAGCCCCACAAUCCCAACUGACCCAGUAACUGAAAUAACCCGAAAGAGAGAGAAAAACACAAACAUCCAAACAAACUCACUCGCACCUUCCAAUACCACCUUUGCCAUCAGAGGCAUGAGAACUAGGGCUGCAGGGGGUGCUGCAGCACCCCUGGGGUCUGGGCCACUGGCCCCCUUGCACCCGGGGUCUGGGCUGCUGGCCCUGCCACGCU